CAUUGGUGCACAUUAAGUAAUUUAUAUGUUAUCAAAUUUUAAAUAAUGUGAUUAACAUUUCAUUUCUAUUUUUAAUAAUACAUUUGUCCAUAGUUUAUAUUAUUCCACACUUACAUCAUUUGCCAUAGAUUCAAUAUAGAUGUUCGUUUAUAGUCCGUCCAGCUUAGCCGCGACCAUCGAAGCAAGUACACGUGCACUAACUGAACGAGUCCAGUGACAAAAUAGGGAUGACAGCUUCUCACAUGAUGUUUUCAAAUGCAAAAUAACUGAAGUUGAAUGAAAGUUUAUUGUAAUGUCGAAUGCUAAAUGGUUAGUUUCGAUGUUGGAAAUAGUAUAUUCAAAUAGAACAAUAACCAACCAACCGAAGCUAUUCCUACCUGUCAUUAUCCCGACUGCAACUCUCCCUUCCGUGUUUGGAUCGUCCACCUUAGCUAGGCGCGGCUUUCGUGGACAGACAAUAGUUAUACUUAUCAUACGCUAUACAAAGUAUAUAGAACAGGACAUUUUUAAACAAUUUUAUACGUUAC
rnacentral:lncRNA from 1 species